AGGGGAUUCCUCGCCGUUGCUCAGCCCGCCGCGCCAAGGCUGCCUUCCCCUGCUUUCCCUUGGCCGCGCCGCCGGAACUUCGUGGGAAGGCAGUCCCCGCGCUCGUGGUGCGAGCAUCUCUCCAGUCGCGCGUCGGUGGCUGGGAUACAGCCCGGGUACCCAGCGUGCGCCUGUUGUCACUGCCGAGCCCAACUCCGAACGCCCCGCUCCUGUACCCGCCGUUUCUGAUUGGCCGGCCGGAGGCGGAGCGAUUGUCAGGCCGCCCAAUCGGUGCUCGGUUUCCCACGGGCUCCCGCUGCCCCGCCCCCGGGGCCGCAGGCGGAGGCACCCUGACAGCUCCCAUUGGCAGACAGCGAACGGUCCGGUGCACAGCCGGGCGGAGCAGCGCCGCCGCCGUCGGGCGCGCAGCUCUGCAGCGCAGCGAACGCUUUGGCGCCCGCAGCCCCGGGAGCCCAGCGGCCCCGCAUUGUCCCUGGCCCUGUGACUGAGAUCCGGGAUGAGCGUCGCGGAUUGAUGGCUGUUUUCCAAAUGUUGACAUUAUCAGAAGCCUGACCUCCACGUGGAAAAGAAGGGCCUGUUUUAAGAGGCCUCACCAAACAGCUGGCUGCAAAGGGCUGCUCUUUGAGACCAGGUUGUCUGCAGAGUCCCGAGCUGUCGGGGUUGGCCGGCUGCCUUUCUUCUCUGGCGGUGUGUGUGUGUUCUCCGUGUUUCCAGGGUGAAGCGCCCACGAGCAGGUCAGUGUCGGUUUUCUUUUCAUUUGGGUGACCUCUCUAAGUCCCCGUGUUUAAAGCUGGACUGAGUUCAUUGCUUUCCUUGCUGUGAAGAGCUGCCAUGGAGAUGCCCCGAAGGGCUGCAGGCCUCACCUUUCAUCCACACCCCCUCCCGCACCAGGGCUGCUGCUGGGCUCCUGCCUGGAGCUGCUGGGGUCAGUGGGUGGGACACCCCUGGGUGUUCUUAAAUCCACUGGUAGCUGGUGCCUAAACUCCAACUCAGGAUGGCGGCUGUGUGGUCCAUGUCUGGAUGCUGCAGAGCCUUUUCCAGAAUGAGCCGCCCCUGCUCUUGUCUUGACCUCCCCACCAUCUGUCUUCAAAUAGUAGCCCGAGGGCACCUUUUAGGUCAGACAGUGUUGCUGUGCUCAAAACCUUCCUGUGCUUUUUUUUCCUAAGUGUUUCGUGAAAAAUAUUUCUUUCUUUCUUUCUUUUUUCCUAGCUAACAACAUAGUUGUUUUUUUUUAUCUUACUUUAUUUUUAUUUUUUUAAAUUACUCAAUGAAUUUAUUACAUUUAUAGUUGUACAAUGAUCAACACAAUCCAAUUUUAUAGGAUUUCCAUCCCACAACCCUAGCACAUCCCCCCACCCCCCCGAACUGUCUCCUUUGGAAACCAUACGUUUUUCAAAGUCUGUGAGUCAGUAUCUGUUCUGCAAAGAAGUUCAUUCUGUCCUUUUUCCAGAUUCCACAUGUCAGUGAGAGCAUUUGAUGUUGGUGUCUCACUGUUUGGCUGACUUCACUUAGCAUGAUAAUUUCUUGGUCCAUCCAUGCUGCUGCAAAUGCCGUUAUUGUGUUCCUUUUAAUGGCCGAGUAAUAUUCCAUUGUGUAUAUGUACCACCUCUUCUGGAUCCACUCCUCUGUUGAUGGACAUUUAGGUUGUUUCCAUGUCUUGGCUAUUGCAUAGAGUGCUGCAAUGAACAUCGGAGUACAUGUGUCUUUGUGAGUCAUGGUUUUCUCUGGAUAGAUGCCCAGGAAUGGGAUUGCUGGAUCAAAUGGUAGUUCUAUUUUCAGUUUUCUGAGGCAUCUCCAUACUGUUUUCCCCAGUGGCUGCCCCAAUUUACAUUCCCACCAACAGUGUAAUAGGGUCCCCUUUUCUCCACAUCCUCUCCAGCAUUUAUUGUUUGUAGACAUUUAGAUGAUGGCCAUUCUGGCUGGUGUAAGGUGGUACCUCUUCAUGGCUUUGAUUUGCAUUUCUCUAAUAAUGAGUGAUGUUGAACAUCUUUUCAUGUGUUUUUUGGCCACCUGUAUAUCUUCUUUGGAGAAUUGUCUGUUUAGAUCUUCUGCCCAUUUUUUGAUGGGGAACAAUAUUUCUUUAAUGGAGUUAUGGUUCAGAAAUUUCCACGUGAUUAAUAUCACAUUUAAAUAUAAGUAGCUUGAUGAAAUGAUGUAUAGCAUGAAGAGGCGAAGACUUAUAUUCUAAAGGUUUGAAUCCCUCGAUUUAAGGUCUAGAGCUGCCAUUUAGAAUGAGAGCUUGUGAAUUUAAAGAUGUCAUUUGGCAUCUCGGAGUUUUCUUAUCUGUUAAAAUUGGCAGAUGUGAUAUAAUUCUGAUUUCUUCAAAACCGUGUUGGUGUAAGGAUCAAAUGAGCUGAUAGGCUUUUUUUUUUUUUUUUUCCUUUCUCUGUAUCGUAUUAUCUUCCAUCAAAAAGUUUUAUAGGUGGCUCAGCAUUAACAAGCCCAACUAGGAUCCAUGAGGACGUGGGUUUGAUUCCUGGCCUCACUCAGCGGGUUAAGGAUCCCGCAUUGCUGUGAGCUAUGAUGUAGGUUGCAGAUGCAGCUCGGAUCCUGUGUUGCUGUGGCGGUGGUGUAGGCUGACAGCUGUAGCUCCGAUCCAACCCCUAGCCUGGGAACCUCCGUAUGCCUCAAGUGCGGCCCUAAAAAAAGAAAAAAGAAAAAA
rnacentral:lncRNA from 1 species